rnacentral:misc_RNA from 1 species
CUGAUGUACACAUCUUUCAUUUUUCUAUCAUUAUCUUUUCAAAAUGUUGCGAAGUUAUCGUCAUUCUGUAAUGUGUCAGCUCUUACAUUUCCUGCAGUUUCUAAUGUUGUCAUCUUAAUUAUAUACAACGAUAUCUUAAAUGGAGUGAAUGGCUCCUCACAGUUUUACCAAUCCAAUGAUGCAAGGGAGCUGAUCCUCAAGCUGUUGACAGAGUAGAAAAUAAUAGCUUUUGUCCCAAUCAGCCCUUGACGACAGUAAGCUUGUUAUUCUCUUAGCAAAGUCAACGAUAACUACUCAAAAGCAAAGAGCGUAAGAGUCCUAGAGCCGAAUGAAGGGACGUUUUAGAAAACCGUAAACUCUGUUCCUUGUUAAAGGAUGGACCAAGCUUUGUUGUUCCGACAGUUGGCAGGCUGGCUAGCUAGGUCAUGUAUAAUCUUUCACGCCCGAAUGUAUAUCAGUUCAGUUUAUGCAUAUAGAUGCCUUCUCAAUCUUUUCAGGUUGCCUCAUUUUUCCUAAUGGGGCUUCUGGGAUGUUGCAGUUUUAAACUUCGUCACAUGGUUGUAUAGAAGCUACUCAAAAUUGUAAGACUUUUGAGUCGGGGACUGCAGGAAGUUUGAAGCCAGUGCUUAAAAGACAAGUCCCGGGCAGUCGCAGAACAAUAUUAUCGGUAUCCAUGCGAAAAGCUCAUUGCAUUGGAUUUUCAUCUCAAGAAUGAAAUAAGCAAAAGAUUCCCCUCCGUACCAUCGAACUUUAGCUCAACAAUAUGAAGUCAUCUCCAAAAUUGAUCUCAGAAAUUGAAUCUCAAUCAGAACCAAUUGUAUUUAAAAAAGAAAAAAUUAUACUUGUACUAUGUAUUUUCAACACUAUGAACCAGUUAUAAUUAGAUUUCUGCUUGCUGUCUUUGUAUCAUUGCAACAAACUGAGAAUCAAACAUUCUAAUUUGAAUUUUACCAGUGAUUACUGAGUACGUAAAGCUUUGGCAAAUAUUAUUCCCAGUCCUGCUUUGAGAAAAGGAUACUAGUUUUGUCCUCGCACUUCAACUCAAGACAUGGUUGUCCAACCACUUGUUAGAGUUUAAUGCUUUAAUCCGAACCUCUAUCCCCAUCUGCAUUAGAGGCAAAUGACAAAAUUAAGUCAACUUCACAAUCUCUUAACCUCUGUUUAAUCCUCUUCUCUUCCUUUUUCUCUCCUUGCUCCUUAAUCUGCUCCAUGCCAACCAGCAGUUAGAACAAAUACCUAUAAGGCCAAACUGUCGGUAAAGGCAUGCCCCAAAACAUCACCCAUUACAUAGCAUAAUGCAACUGAAAGAUGUGGCAGUUAUAUUAAACCAAUUCCAGUAGCUUAAAAAUACUUUGUACAUAUGAGGGGAAAAAGAUGUGGCAGUAACUAACUGAAAGAUCUUCCUAAGCACCCGGCAAGAGAAACUGCAAUUUUUCUUUUUUUGGGAUAGAGAGAAAAUGCAUUAAUAAACAAUGUAAAAAGUACCAUUACCAUGCCAAAUAUUUUACCUAUUUAGAAAAAAAUCCUAGAAAGGGCAGCAAGAGGGCAAUCCAUCUUCUGCUGACAAUACAAAGCAAGUAAAGAAUCAGUAACUAUGAACCUAAAUACAAAAUUGCUAUCACUAUCAAUAAAAUAAAGACAAGAGACUAGUAACAAAUAAUUGAGUAACAGGUAGUAAGCGAUCUGAACCAGAUGACACCUGGACACUUGGACGAGAGAGUUACUCGCCCAAGCAAUCGGAUCACUAUUAAGGAUAACGAUCCCAAGAUAUCCGCCAUGGUCAGAAUCUCACUCGAGAAGCAUACUAUUACUUCUACUCAACCACAGACUCUUAAUCCUAAUAGGAACUCACAUCAAAAGCCUAUAUAAGGGCCACCAAGUAUGCACACUACUCAGUUUUUUACCUUUCUAUUCUAUAGCCUAGUUCUCGUCACUAACUUAGGCAUCAAAGUGGUAGUCAUCUAACUCUUCUCUCUUACAGAUCCUUGAACCCAACACUCAUAACCCGCUGGAAAGGAGAACAGCAUCAAAAAUGAUUUGAGAGGUACGACACAAGCUGGAUUCCUCAGAUUGCUAAUUUUUCUGACAACAUUUUUCCCUUAGAAACAAGUUUGCAGGAAAUAGAAUCUCUAAUGCAGCAAAACCUUCUAAAAGAGACCAUUCCCCAUUUCAUAUAUCCUUCUCAAAGACAGUCUAAGGCUCUCAGCUAUUGCAAAACAACACCAUAACAGCAAAUAAGAGAUUGUAUAUGACAGGUGUAGAAAUAUGGGUAAGAGGGGAUCAUUCCCAAGAAAAAUUAAAUUUGCAGCUAUUUUCUUCUUCCAUUUUUCUAAUCAACAAUAAAGAGGAAGACAAUACCAGCGUUUCUACCCCUUAGCUGCCAGCACAAUGGCUGCUAAACGGUAAACUCCACCAAAGUAACAGAGGGAGAAAAAGUCAAAUGAAGGAGAGACAGAGAAGUGUAAAUUUUGUUACCUUUUUGAGUGCCAAAGGCCUUUUGUUUGACAGUUUCCACCUUGACGUGUUCCAGAAGGAGAAAGCUACAUGUAUAAACCAAAGCACCAAGCUCGACCCCCUUUAACACCUUGCUAAAAACAGCACUAAUCAAAUCCCAUGGAGCUGUAGAUAGAGACAGUUCAGAGGAACACAAUCUUCUCUGAUAAUCAGGCUUGCACCUGACAAGCAACAUCAAAUGUUUGCUUUGAGAAAUCAUCAGCAUUCACAGAAUUCGUACUGUCUUCAUUCAAUAAAUCACAUAACAAAAUGGAAUCUGGAACCCAUUUAAACCUAACCAUGCUCUCUAGAGCCUUCGCUGCUUUAUCUGUCCUUCCUGCUCUGUGAAAACAACAAACUAGCGUUCUACAAGUAGCAAGACUUAGCUUAAAGCCUUGCUCUUCAAUCUCAUCAAGUAAUUUCAACACUUCAGAAACAUUAUUAUGUUUGCAUAGAGCAUCAAUUAGUACAUUAUACACUUUUUUGCUCACAUUCACACCCUUUAGCAUUAUGUCAUCAACCAGUUUUAAAGCUUUAAUCCAGUUACCUUCUUUCAGGUAAGAAUCAACCAUCAUACUCCAAACCACAUCAUCAGGCUCAAUACCUCUUGCAAUCAUCUCAUCAAAAAGGGCAUACAUCUUGGAUCUAUUCCCUAGAGAGUUGUAACCGUGUAAUAACAUUGUGUAAGUUAAAACAUUUGGCAUCAAAUUCCUUUUCUCCAUCUCUAGAAAGAGCUGCUCUGCUUCUUUCAUCGUUCCUGCCUUGCAAUGAUAUUUAAUCAAAAUUUUGUAGGUCACAUGAUUUGGUGUGAUAUGCUUGCCAACCAUGUCUUCCAACAAAUGGUAAGCUUCAAUCAACUUCCCCGACCUGCAAAAGCCAUUGAUCAAAGCAUUGAAAGCAGAAGUAGAAGCAAUGCCCUUAUCCACCAUUUCCAAGAACAAGGAUAGAGCCUUCUCCAUAUUUCCAUUUUUGCAACAUCCAUCAAUUAGGGAACAGUAGACAAAGCCAUCAGGAGGAACCCCCUCCAUUGUCAUCCUGUCAAACAACUGAAAUGCCUCAGCUAAAUUUCCGGAUUUGCAAUAUCCAUCUAUAAUUGUAGCAUAAGUCACACAACUGCGAGCCAAACGUGCUCUUGGAAUUCCAUCAAACAGUUCCCGAGCUCUCUCAAUGUCGCCCAACUUGCAAAGUCCAUCGAUCAAGGCAUUGUAUGAGACAAUGUUUGGAUUGAUACCUUUUUGGCACAUAUCCUCAUGAAGUUCAAAGGCCUUCUUUAAGUCACCUUGCUUGCAAAAGGCAGAAAUGAGAGAACUGUAAGUAAAGACAUCAGGAACCAGAUCCUUGUCAAGAUGUUCAGAAAAAACCUCCAUUGCUUCCUUGAGUUUCCCAUUACUCGAAAGGCCACGGAUGAGCAUAUUAUAAGUUUGCACAUCAGGAAGCACUCCUUGCUCAAGCAUACAUCUAAAUUUUGCAAAAGCUUCAGUGGUGUUACCCUCCUUGCAGCACCCACCAAUCAAGGCUGCAUAAACAACAUCAUUUGGUGCUACACCACAACCUAGCAUCUCUGUAAAGCAACUGUCAGCUCCUUGCAUUUCCCCAGCCUUGCAAUAUCCAUGAAUAAGAGCCCCAUAAGUAUAAACAUUUGGUUUUAAUCCAUUCUGAACCAUUUCGACCAGGUACUUCCUUGCUUCUUCCAUUUUUCCAGCCUUGCAGAGUCCAAUUAUGACAGUAUUGUAGCAGAAGACGUCAGGUGCUACCCCUUGCUCCUUCAUAACUUCUAAAAUCUUUCUUGCGUCAUCAAAUGCACCUUCUUGGACAUGGCCUUUUAUUAAAGUUGUGUAUAUUACAGCAUUUGGUUUAAAACCCUGAGAAACCAUCUCUUGAAACACUCUAUUUGCCCGUUUGAGAUCUCCGCAGCGGCACAGACCAUUGAUUACAACACCGUAAGUGUACACAGUUGGUGCCAAGUUCUUGUUCUUCAUCUCAAUCAGUAACUCAAAGGCCUUUACCAUAUUUUGCUCCUUAUAAUACCCAUCCAUCAAACAAGUAUAUGUUUGGGUAUCAGGUUUUAUGCCCAUCUCAAUCAUUUCACUGAAAAGAGCUUUCACCUUCUCCAUGUCACCAACUUUGCAUAACCGCUGGAUAAGCGUGUUAAAAGUGAAAACAUUUAACUUAAUUCCAUUAGCAAGCAUCUCCUCCUUAACCUGGAAAGCUUCAGUUAUAUCACCCUGUUUCAAGAACCCAUUAAUCAGAGCAGUAUAAGCAAUGUGAUCAGGUUUCAAACCUAUGCUACACAUCUCCUCCAACAACAGUUUUGCCUCUUUAGAUUUCUUCUGUUUACAAAGUCCAUCGAUAAGUGUAGCAUAAGUAUAAUUAUCUGGGGCCAAGCCCUUAUCAACCAUAGACUUCUUUAACUCAAAAGCUUCAUCCACAGCCCCAGCUCUGCAGAAACCAGCGAUCACCACAUUGUAAGUAACCAAACUAGGACUACAACCCUUCUCCUCCAUAUCAAAAAGUAACCCUUUACCAUCCUUAACAUUCCCCACUUUGCAAUGUGCAUUUAUUAAAUUUGUAUAAGUGUACACAUUGGGAUCCACCUUAGCCUCUAACAUCCCAUUAUACACUUUCCAAAACAACUCCAAUCUAUUACCCUUCAACAAAUCCUUCAACAAUGAAUUACAACACACCACAUCAACCACAAAGCCAUGAUUUUUAGCUCCUAGAAACACACUAGCAGCCUCGUUGAGAAACCCCUUCUUUUUAUAAGCAUUGAUCAAAAUUUCAAAAACCACUAUAUUACUCCCAUUGAGCUCUCUACAACACUUAAGAAUUGAAUCCAAAAUCUCCAAAUGCGGCUUACGGGUCUCAAUCAUUCGUUCCAAGACGCUAUUCGCGGGAGCAAAAAGCCGCGAAUUGCACAGAAUUAUUGCAAGAAUCGAAAACGAAUAAAUAUUUUGAGGGACAAAAAUUCUAGAAUGAACCCAGUUGAAGAAACCAUAGAGGCGUUUAGGAUCGUUCACCUGGUUUUGUUUAAGAACUGAGAGAACCACGUCUGGGUUUAGCGUAUUCGAUAUUGAUGAGGACUCUAUGAGGUAUUGCCAGUUGUUUUGCUUCAACAAUCUACUGAUUUCUUUGGCUGUGUUGUCGUGUUGGUUAGUGGUGCAGAAUGAAUUGAAUUUGAGAUAGCAGAUUCUGGCUCUUGAAAUUACGUUUCGGUUUCGGUUCUCGAUCUUGAAUAACUGGAGGUUUCUAUGGGUUAUUAAACCCAUUUUUUUCUGGCGAUUAUGUGAAUUUCCGAUGGGAAGGAAGAUCAGACCACGGAAACCUUGCCAAAGACGAGUUUCAUUUCUCUGCAGCUAUUACCUUGCCGCACCUGCGCUUACGCAACCGCGGACUAAAACGACGUCGUUCAGUGAAUGCCAG